AUGGGAGGGGGCUUGCCCCCGAUGGCAAUCGGCACAUUCAACGUCUUUGUUGAAUGACACGCCGCUAUCGGGGGCAAGCCCCCUCCCAC
rnacentral:misc_RNA from 1 species